GGAUAAAGAAAGUAAGCAAGGGCGCAUGGCGGAUGCCUUGGCUCUCGGAGGCGAUGAAGGACGUGAUAAGCUGCGACAAGCUUCGGGGAGGUGCAAAUAACCUUUGAUCCGAAGAUUUCCGAAUGGGACAACCCAAUAUCUUGAAGAGAUAUUAUCCUACUUAGUAGGAGGCUAACGCAGGGAACUGAAACAUCUUAGUACCUGCAGGAAAAGAAAAUAAACAAUGAUUCCCCAAGUAGUGGCGAGCGAACGGGGAAUAGCCCAAACCAUUUAUGUUACGGCAUACAUGGGGUUGUAGGACCACGAUAUUGCAUGAAAACAACAGAGAGGAAUGAUCUGGAAAGUUCAACCAUAGAGCAUGAAAGUUGCGUAUUCGAAUGUUGUCGAAGCAUAGUGGUAUCCUGAGUAGCGCGGAGCACGAGGAAUUCUGCGUGAAUCUGCCGGGACCAUCCGGUAAGGCUAAAUACUCCCGAGAGACCGAUAGCGAACCAGUACCGUGAGGGAAAGGUGAAAAGCACUUCGAACAGAAGAGUGAAAUAGUCCCUGAAACCGUGCGCCUACAAGCGGUCGGAGCAGCUUGAGCUGUGACGGCGUGCCUUUUGCAUAAUGAACCUACGAGUUGCCGUUGCCGGCAAGGUUAAGGGUGAUGACACCCGAAGCCGAAGCGAAAGCGAGUCUGAAUAGGGCGCCUGAGUCGGCAGUGGCAGACGCGAAACCAAGUGAUCUACCCUUGACCAGGUUGAAGGCUGGGUAACACCAGCUGGAGGACCGAACCAAUAAGCGUUGAAAAGCUUCUGGAUGAGUUGAGGGUAGGGGUGAAAGGCUAAUCAAACUUGGAGAUAGCUCGUACUCCCCGAAAUGCAUUUAGGUGCAGCCUUGCGGGUUACUGAUGUGAGGUAGAGCGACUGAUAAGAUGCGAGGGCUUCACCGCCUAUCAAGUCUUGACAAACUCCGAAUGCGCAUCAGUCCUACCGCAGGAGUGAGGGCAUGGGUGCUAAGGUCCGUGCCCGAGAGGAGAAGAAUCCGGACCACCUGCUAAGGUCCCGAAAUGACAGCUAAGUUAAACUAACGAAGUCGGACUGCCAUGACAGCUAGGAUGUUGGCUUGGAAGCAGCCAUUCAUUUAAAGAGUGCGUAACAGCUCACUAGUCGAGGAGUCCGGCGUGGAUAAUAAUCGGGUAUGAAGUUGUCUACCGAAGCAGUGGGAUCAUG
rnacentral:rRNA from 1 species